UUUAAAAGCUAAAAAUUGACAACCCACAACAAAAAGACUCCUCACGCCACACCGCUUCGCAUUCACAAUCGCUUUCUUCCCACAGGCCACAACGAUUCUUCUCUUCUCUUUCCCUACUUAUCUUUCUUCUCUGUUUUUCCUCCUGCAAAUUCCGUUACCUAACCUCUAUUCAAAUUCUCCAAACUCAACCCUCUGUACCUUCUUUGUUAUUUUUAUGUUUUUACGGGAAAGGAAAAAUCCCCUUUAUCUACUAACCUAUACACAUUUUUUCUCACCAUAUGCUACCUUCACGCCAACGAAGUCUAUGGGGAAAAAACUAUAUAUUUCUCGCCAAGGGUGUGGACAACCAAGGAUUGGGCUGCCAAAACGUCGUAAAGAGAUUGAGGAGUGAUUCCGAACUAUAUAGAUG